UGGGGAAUCUUGGACAAUGGGCGCAAGCCUGAUCCAGCCAUGCCGCGUGAGUGAUGAAGGCCUUAGGGUUGUAAAGCUCUUUUUGGCGGGGACGAUAAUGACGGUACCCGCAGAAUAAGUCCCGGCUAACUUCGUGCCAGCAGCCGCGGUAAUACGAAGGGGACUAGCGUUGUUCGGAAUCACUGGGCGUAAAGCGCACGUAGGCGGAUCGUUAAGUCGGGGGUGAAAUCCUGGAGCUCAACUCCAGAACUGCCUUCGAUACUGGCGAUCUCGAGUCCGGAAGAGGUGAGUGGAACUCCUAGUGUAGAGGUGGAAUUCGUAGAUAUUAGGAAGAACACCAGUGGCGAAGGCGGCUCACUGGUCCGGUACUGACGCUGAGGUGCGAAAGCGUGGGGAGCAAACAGGAUUAGAUACCCCCGUAGUCCCUGAGCGGGCUGGCAAGGCGCAU
rnacentral:rRNA from 1 species